rnacentral:rRNA from 1 species
AUUGAACGCUGGCGGCAUGCCUUACACAUGCAAGUCGAACGGCAGCAUGAUCUAGCUUGCUAGAUUGAUGGCGAGCGGCGAACGGGUGAGUAAUACAUCGGAACGUGCCCUGUAGUGGGGGAUAACUAGUCGAAAGAUUAGCUAAUACCGCAUACGACCUGAGGGUGAAAGUGGGGGACCGCAAGGCCUCAUGCUAUAGGAGCGGCCGAUGUCUGAUUAGCUAGUUGGUGAGGUAAAGGCUCACCAAGGCGACGAUCAGUAGCUGGUCUGAGAGGACGAUCAGCCACACUGGGACUGAGACACGGCCCAGACUCCUACGGGAGGCAGCAGUGGGGAAUUUUGGACAAUGGGCGAAAGCCUGAUCCAGCAAUGCCGCGUGUGUGAAGAAGGCCUUCGGGUUGUAAAGCACUUUUGUCCGGAAAGAAAUGGCUCUGGUUAAUACCUGGGGUCGAUGACGGUACCGGAAGAAUAAGGACCGGCUAACUACGUGCC